GGAAAGAAUGGAACGAGUUUUCAGGAAGCUACAGUGUACAGAGGAAUUGAAGUUUGAGUAUUCUGUUUCCUUGUUGCAAGGGGAUGCGUUUGAAUGGUGGAAGACCAUCCCCCACAGCCUGGUUGAGCCACCUGUGCUGACAUGGACAGACUUUUUGAGGGAGUUUCGAUAGAAGUGGGUUCCCGAUGCAUAUGUGGAUAUGAAGUUACAAGAAUUCCUGAGUUCAAAACAAGGGGACAGAACUAUAGCAGAGUAUGAAAGAGACUUUUCAAGGCUAAGCCACUAU
rnacentral:misc_RNA from 1 species